rnacentral:rRNA from 1 species
GGAGCAACGCCGCGUGAGUGAUGAAGGUUUUCGGAUCGUAAAGCUCUGUUGUUAGGGAAGAACAAGUGCCGUUCAAAUAGGGCGGCACCUUGACGGUACCUAACCAGAAAGCCACGGCUAACUACGUGCCAGCAGCCGCGGUAAUACGUAGGUGGCAAGCGUUGUCCGGAAUUAUUGGGCGUAAAGGGCUCGCAGGCGGUUUCUUAAGUCUGAUGUGAAAGCCCCCGGCUCAACCGGGGAGGGUCAUUGGAAACUGGGGAACUUGAGUGCAGAAGAGGAGAGUGGAAUUCCACGUGUAGCGGUGAAAUGCGUAGAGAUGUGGAGGAACACCAGUGGCGAACGCG